rnacentral:rRNA from 1 species
CCCUUAGACGUUCUGGGCCGCACGCGCGCUACACUGACCAGUGCAACAAGCAUCCGUCCUUGGCCGACAGGCUCGGGCAAUCUUUGAACGCUGGUCGUGAUGGGGAUAGAUCUUUGGAAUUAUUGAUCUUGAACGAGGAAUGCCUAGUAAUCGUAGGUCAUCAGCCUGCGAUGAUUACGUCCCUGCCCUUUGUACACACCGCCCGUCGCUCCUACCGAUUUCGAGUGGUUCGGUGAACCUUUCGGACCGGCAAUGCCUCGUGUUGCGCCGGAAAGUCAAGUAAACCAUAUCACUUAGAGGAAGGAGAAGUCGUAGCA